rnacentral:misc_RNA from 1 species
GAUGAAGAACGCAGCGAAAUGCGAUAAGUAAUGUGAAUUGCAGAAUUCAGUGAAUCAUCGAAUCUUUGAACGCACAUUGCGCCCCUUGGUAUUCCGAGGGGCAUGCCUGUUCGAGCGUCAUUAUAACCCCUCAAGCUCAGCUUGGUGUUGGGGCCUGCUGCACUGGCACCCCUUAAAAUCAGUGGCGGCGCCAUCUGGCUCUAAGCGUAGUAAUUCUUCUCGCUAUGGAGUCCUGGUGGAUGCUUGCCAUCAACCCCCAAUUUUUCUAUGGUUGACCUCGGAUCAGGUAGGGAUACCCGCUGAACUUAAGCAUAUCAAUAAGCGGAGGA